UUGUGGAAGGAUCUCGAUCUGCGAAGCGAACCGCGCGGCUCAAGGGGAGAAGGACGGCUUACCUCUGGGGUUAAGCCCGUGAGGCCUUGUUCGGUUGGGCCGGGAACGGCCGGGAUCGGGGCCCAAUCCCCGUGGAUCACCCCGGCGAGGAAAUAAUCCCGGCCCAUGCGAAAUUAUGUGUUCGGUUAAGUCCCAACGUGGAUUUUAGCCCGGCCCACCAUGGGUUUCCCUGUUCUGUAAGCCCGAGAAAAAAUCAUCUACUCGAGAGGAGCAGAAAAAUUCCUCGCGGCGGCGCAACGAAGACACGGACGUGACGGUGGGGGCGGCGCGUGGCGCGACCUGGAGGCGACGGUGACGGCACGGCUCUCUCCUCCGGCCGCCACCUUCUCUCCGGUUCCUUGAAAUCGACUGGUAGGGAUAUUCCAGAUAAUUUAUUUGAUGGUAGCAAUUUUCUGAGGUUCCUGAAGAUUUAUUGCUUCAGACAGCAUGAUGAAAGUCAGGGCAUCAUUAUAGUGUCUCCUGCUGCUCAGCUCAUUCCACUCAUAAACCUGUUUAGUUUGUGAUUUAUCUGAGUUACUAAGAAUGUGUUUAAACUGAGUUCUCCCACACAGUGAAAUGUGUGAUAUUUGAUAUUGUGGACAUCUUUUUUUUCUUUGUACCCAUCACUGUUUUCCUGUGCUUCUAAUCUGCAAUACUGUCCCGGCAA